rnacentral:lncRNA from 1 species
AAUACUCCCCCCGUCCUUUCCAGUCUGUGCACCCCGAGCUAAGUGAGGCAGCCGAAAGUUGUGGACACUUAGGCUGCCGCGCGGGGGGUGUGUGUCCGUGUCUGUGUGUCCGUCCCCGCCCUUCCACCCCCUCCCUCGCCCUUCCCCAAAUCUCGGGUCUGACGUCGCGCCCUCUUAUUCGACUUUUCCCCGCGUCUCUUCCCAGAGUCGCCAAUCGCCUGGGCGCCUUACAGGCGAGGCGGCCCACCCCCUCGGAUCCUGCGCGCAGGGCGGGGCGGGGCAGGGGCGGGAGCCCGGGCGCCGCUAGUCCCUGCCCGACCCCUCCUGCCCGCGCGGGGUGGUGGAGCGUGAGGCUUGGGGACCGGCUGUGAUGCCAUGAGAAGACUCAGAUAGCACAUGGACAGGCCCACAUAGCAAUGAAUUGCGACUUGCCAGCAACCGUGUGGGUUAGCUUGGAGCAGACUCUCCAGUCCUGAGUCUUCAGAUGGCUAUAGCCCUGGCUGGCCACGUGACUGAACCUGAGGAGAAAUGCUGACAAAGGCAUGCAGCUAAGCAGCCCCUGGAUUCCUGACCCACAGAAACUGUGAAAUAAUAAAUGUUUGUUGUUCAAAGCCAAGGGUUGGCAAAAUACAUUCCACUUGUUUUGUAAAUAAAGUUUUGUUGAAACACAG